GCCUUCAUGGUGUAGUGGUCAGCACGCUCGACGCGUAACCGAGAGAUCCGUGGUUCGAUUCCCGGCGAAGGCG
rnacentral:tRNA from 1 species